rnacentral:rRNA from 1 species
UACGAAGGGGGGCUAGCGUUGCUCGGAAUCACUGGGCGUAAAGGGUGCGUAGGCGGGUCUUUUAAGUCAGGGGUGAAAUCCUGGAGCUCAACUCCAGAACUGCCUUUGAUACUGAAGAUCUUGAGUCCGGGAGAGGUGAGUGGAACUGCGAGUGUAGAGGUGAAAUUCGUAGAUAUUCGCAAGAACACCAGUGGCGAAGGCGGCUCACUGGCCCGGUACUGACGCUGAGGUGCGAAAGCGUGGGGAGCAAACAGG